rnacentral:rRNA from 1 species
UUAUUAAUGGCGUCGAGCGUCCGGUUAAAGCCGCUGAAUUGUUCGCGUUUACCUUGCGUGUACGCGCAGGAAACACUGACGUUCUUACUGACGCAGAAGAAAACGUGCGUCAAAAAUUACGUGCAGAAGGAGUGAUGUAAUGUCUAAAGGUAAAAAACGUUCUGGCGCUCGCCCUGGUCGUCCGCAGCCGUUGCGAGGUACUAAAGGCAAGCGUAAAGGCGCUCGUCUUUGGUAUGUAGGUGGUCAACAAUUUUAAUUGCAGGGGCUUCGGCCCCUUACUUGAGGAUAAAUUAUGUCUAAUAUUCAAACUGGCGCCGAGCGUAUGCCG